rnacentral:hammerhead_ribozyme from 1 species
AUCCAGCAGAAGAGUCCCAAUCAGGACGAAAUGCGAACCCUGGAU